UACGAAGGGGGCUAGCGUUGUUCGGAGUUACUGGGCGUAAAGGGCGCGUAGGCGGCGCACCAAGUCAGGCGUGAAAGCCCUGGGCUCAACCCGGGAAUUGCGCUUGAGACUGGUGUGCUUGAGUACGGGAGAGGAUAGUGGAAUUCCCAGUGUAGAGGUGAAAUUCGUAGAUAUUGGGAAGAACACCGGUGGCGAAGGCGGGUAGCUGGACCGUAACUGACGCUGAGGCGCGAAAGCGUGGGGAGCAAACAGG
rnacentral:rRNA from 1 species